GCCGCCGUGUCAGGUGAACUGAACUUCAGAUUAUUAGAACAGCCAGUGAUGAGAGGACGAUGAUGAUGAUGAUGAUGAUGAUGACAGCCACAGUCAGACCCACAGGCAGCGAAACACCUGCAGCAGAUUCAGAAGACGUGUUUUCUCAGGCUGCUCCGUGGUUACACUCGAGGUGAGUGAAGGUGAGAAGGCUGAUUGGACGACUGCUGAAACAGGUCAGAGAGUGAAGUUUAGAUGUGGUUCUUAUUUAAAAGCAGAGAUCUGAGAAAAAGCAGCCCGCUCACACACUCAGAGUCACACAUCACUGUGUGUCACACGACUGCUGCAGUGUCACUGUGAGUAAGGAUGUUUGUAACAUCACAUCUUUGACAUCACAGUAGGCAGGUAUCAUUGUUCAGCAUGCUGGGUGUAUUUUAACUGACAUAAUAUUCUUUCUGAAUAUAGCCAAACAUUAAUAUGUGUCCAAACCAGUGCAUGAAACCAAGACACAAACACAAAAUCCCUCAGAGUGGACACAGACUGCUGUCUUCAAACGUUGUGACCUUUCCCACCACCUGAUGUUGUAGCACUUUAACAAAAGGACAGCUCAGUCCUCCUGCAGCCAGUUUGGAAAUGACCGAGUUAAAGAACACCUCUUUCUUAAAGGUGAGACACCAGCAGCGUCUGAUAGAUCAGCAGUAUCUGACAUCUGGGAUAAAAGUGUAAAGAAAGAUUCUGAAAUUCAGAUUUUAUAAUAGCAUCAAGUUUUGAUAGUGCUCCAGAAAAACUGUCAAAUUAGAUUUUAGUUGCAGAAAAAGUGCAAAUCAUUAUCUACAGUGUGGCUGUUAGAUAAUAUGUCUGGUUAUCUGAAACACCAGCAGCUAUCAAUGACUAAAUUAGCAACAUUAAAAACAUUUUCAGGGAAAACUCACCAUCUGUGACGUUGAUCUCAAAGAGUCUGAAUGAAGCUUGACCAGAAGAUGGAUUCAGAGAACAUCUGUACUGUCCUGAGUCAGACUCAGUCAGCUGUGUGAUUGUCACAUACACAAUUCCUCCUCCUCCAUAUGUCUCCUCUGAAGUUCCUCUAAAUCCAAUUCUGUAUCUGUCUUUGGAAGCAUCUUCAUCAUCUGUUUGAAGAAGAACCUCGUCCUCUCCACAUUCUCCCCUGCAGAAGAACUUUUGUCCUCCAGACGGAUUAAAGGAACAUCCGACUGUGAGAGAGCUUCCAGUUUCUUUAUUGAAGUGUUUCAGCUGAGCAGGAUCGUUUCCA
ensembl:lncRNA